UGUUUUGUGGCUUAGUUGGUUAAAGCGCCGGUCUAGCGAAUACUGAAUCGUAGGUUCAGAUCCCACCAAAACGC
rnacentral:tRNA from 1 species